GCCUUGUUAUCUAAUCACUGUCGCUCUGUAUAAGCAGAAACCAGGAGGAGAGACGGUGUUGGAGCUGGAGUGAGAACGAGAGCGAGUCUGCCAGUGUCACGACUUGGUCCUUGGGGUUUGUUUUUCCGGAAUGCAACGGAAAGUUGGCGCGGGCAAGACGUGAAUAUCUGGCUGCGUGCCUCCCCCGCUGCAGGACAAGCCCGCACCAGGACAACGGCACAACAUCGGGCAUGAAGGACGGCGCAAGGGCAGGCUCGGGCUGACACCAACAGGCCAACCAACACAGCAACAAACAAAUACAAAGCCAGCAAGUCUACCAGCCCAGUCUGAGUUCAAGAGCACUCAGCAACAGGCCUGAUUGGUGGAUUGCUGCAGAGAUGGUUGUCCUUCUGGAAAGUUCUCCUCUCUCCACAGUGGAAUGCUGUAGCGCUGACAGAUUGACCAUCAGAUUCUUGGUCACCUCCCUGACUAGGGUCUUCUACCCUGAUCGCUCAGUUUAAACAGCCGGCUGUCACGGGCCGGGCGCACACCAGUGUGCAUUCAUCUGUGCGCUGCGCUGGGCGCACCUCCAGCUGCACCAAGCAACUGCAUU